rnacentral:rRNA from 1 species
UACGUAGGGGGCAAGCGUUGUCCGGAUUUAUUGGGCGUAAAGAGCGUGUAGGCGGUUUGGUAGGUCCGCUGUGAAAACUCGAGGCUCAACCUCGAGACGCCGGUGGAAACCAUCAGACUAGAGUCCGGAAGAGGAGAGUGGAAUUCCUGGUGUAGCGGUGAAAUGCGCAGAUAUCAGGAGGAACACCGAUGGCGAAGGCAGGUCUCUGGGCCACUACUGACGCUGAGAAGCGAAAGCAUGGGGAGCGAACAGG